rnacentral:misc_RNA from 1 species
GAUCCUUUCAAAAAUCCGACAUUGUAUUUCAUUUCAAGAUCAUACAUGUAAACCUUGAGAGGUUCAAUGUCUGAUUCUUCAGUGAAACAGGGGUUAGGUUUACUCAACGAAGAAUCGAACAGAGAAAAACUUGAUCUGUAAUCGAUAGUUCCAGUAUAGAACAAAGAAGCAAAAAGAAACAAAAUGAACACUGCUAAACAUACUAAACUCUUACUCAUUCUAUCAUUCACUUUCAUCUUUUUCCAAACCAAAUUAGAAGACCAAGAUCAC